rnacentral:tRNA from 1 species
ACCUGGGUGGCUCAGUUGGUUGAGCAUCUGACUUCAGCUCAGGUCAUGAUCUCAUGGUUCGUGAGUUCAAGCCCCACAUUGGGCU